rnacentral:rRNA from 1 species
UUAAAUUGAAGAGUUUGAUCAUGGCUCAGAUUGAACGCUGGCGGCAGGCCUAACACAUGCAAGUCGAACGGUAACAGGAAGCAGCUUGCUGCUUCGCUGACGAGUGGCGGACGGGUGAGUAAUGUCUGGGAAACUGCCUGAUGGAGGGGGAUAACUACUGGAAACGGUAGCUAAUACCGCAUAACGUCGCAAGACCAAAGAGGGGGACCUUCGGGCCUCUUGCCAUCGGAUGUGCCCAGAUGGGAUUAGCUAGUAGGUGGGGUAACGGCUCACCUAGGCGACGAUCCCUAGCUGGUCUGAGAGGAUGACCAGCCACACUGGAACUGAGACACGGUCCAGACUCCUACGGGAGGCAGCAGUGGGGAAUAUUGCACAAUGGGCGCAAGCCUGAUGCAGCCAUGCCGCGUGUAUGAAGAAGGCCUUCGGGUUGUAAAGUACUUUCAGCGGGGAGGAAGGGAGUAAAGUUAAUACCUUUGCUCAUUGACGUUACCCGCAGAAGAAGCACCGGCUAACUCCGUGCCAGCAGCCGCGGUAAUACGGAGGGUGCAAGCGUUAAUCGGAAUUACUGGGCGUAAAGCGCACGCAGGCGGUUUGUUAAG